rnacentral:ncRNA from 2 species
CUGCAUAGCGAAGCGCCAGAACACGUGUUUUGCGUGUUGACGAGGGGGAGGUUUAUCGAAUUUUUCGGCGGAUGCCUCCCGGCCUGCCACGGCCGUAAGGAACCUACAAAACCGAUGAGUGAUCAGCGGGACAAAGGGGUUUGCAGUGGCUUAU